GGAGAGGUACCCAAGAGGCUGAAGGGGCGGGUUUGCUAAACCUGUAGGUCGGGGCUUUUCCCGGCGCGGGGGUUCGAAUCCCCCCCUCUCCG
rnacentral:tRNA from 1 species